AACAAGUUGGCCAUGCUUCCACAAAACUUUACAAAUAAAUAAGAUGACAAAGUAAUGACACAGGACAAGGUUAUUUGUCAUCGGUGUUGUGUCGUUGUUCUCCUCUUAUAUUUAAUGCGUUUCCCUCGGUUUUAGUUUUUUAUCCCUAUUUUUUUUUUGUCCAUGGAUUUAUGAGUUUUGAACCGCGGUAUACUACUGUUACCUUUUUUAUUGCUUGUCAAUUACUUUUUGUCAUUGUAAUGCUGUAAUGCUACAUACUUUGAAACAUGUGUGUUUUAGAACUUAGCCUCUGUAUGUCAGGAUCAUAACUGCAGUCUGGAAGAAAUAUGUAUUCCAAAAGCACAAAGCCAUAUAUGUCAUCCAUUUUUCCAGAACAAAACCGUCCAUCAAACAUGUCCAGUGAAUUGGUUGAGAUUAGGAAGUAACUGUUACUAUUUCAGUGCUGAUACUAAAACGUGGCACGAUGCAAAGGCGUUUUGUGAAGGUGAAAAUUCCAUGCUUGCAGAAGUGAGAACUACUACGCAGAGGAGCUGCAUAAAGACCGUGGUCAAGACAUAUCAGAAAA